UUGAUUGAUUUGAGACUUCAUCUUCCAGACUUGAAGAAUUUGAAGACUUCAACUUGCAGACUUGAAGAAUUUGAUGACUUCAACU
rnacentral:pre_miRNA from 1 species